GCUGGUGUAGCUCAGGGGUAGAGCAGCUGAUUCGUAAUCAGCAGGUCGUGUGUUCAAAUCACAUCACCAGCUCCA
rnacentral:tRNA from 1 species